rnacentral:lncRNA from 1 species
ACCCUACUUUGUGGCUUACUACUAAGGAAUAGCAGGUCUUUUUCUUUUUUCUUUCUUUCUUUCUUUCUUUCUUUCUUUCUUUCUUUCUUUCUUCUUUUUUUUUCCUGUUCAGGAGAUUGAGUAAUUAGACUUAUCACUAUCACAAGGCUUCAGGGAAAGAGCAACAACACUACUCUUCUCCAGGUCUUCUGACUCCGACAUACAUCAACGCUGCUGCUUUCAACCAGAGUUACAGCAAUUUACACCACCAUAUUAUCUACAUUAUAAAGCAUUAGUGACUCACAAAUACAGUAACGAAGAUAGAACAACAGGAUGCAAGAAAAGCAGUAGAGUAAGAAGCAAAUAAUGAAGUUGGAUACUAUUUAUUCAGGUUCAUUCUAAUAUCCCAUAAUCCUAUACUUAUGACUAAGUUUUAUAUGACUAUUCCCUGUUAAUAAAAAUGAUAAUACUCCAAUAGCCCUAUCCUGC